UAAGCUAGGUGUCAGGUCUUUUUAUCCAUAGCGGUGUUGGUUGGGGAUCAGUAUGUUGUGCCUGGAAGUGGCAGCAUGUCAUUAAACAUCACUCACCCCUCUCCUCUAGAGGACAGUCAUCUGGUUCACCAUCUGUACCUGACCUCCUGCCUCUCAUGGAGGAGCUGCUGCUGCCUGGACCUGUUUCCAAAGGAGACACAUACAGGAGGACACUGAACUGACCUCCAAGACCAACAUCCUGCUGGACUCUCCGGUCUCCUGGAAACAGUCUUGCUCACUUACAGCAGUCAGAAGACCUCCAAGAAGAGUAAUCACUCAUCACCGUACCAUCACGUAUGACGGUACGGAGCGGCUAUGGGCUGAAACAGAAGUGUUGCUCCCACAGACUGAUGUCCAGCUGUUUGAUCCCAGCGGAGUCAUUGAGAAUCCAACGAUGACCUCAGCUUUGGGCCGUCUCACCUUGCAAGUGCUCAUCAAUGCCCCUCCCUCAGUAAAGAUCAGGAUCCAGGCUCUGCACAUGGGCCCCAUGGACAACAGCACAGCAGCCCAGUCCACCUUCAUUAUGGUGAGGGAAGAGGGAGACCGUUCUGUUUUGAUUCUUCAGUAUUUCAAUGCAAACUAUCUAGUUGAGUGUACAUUAAACAAUGAACCUUCAUCUUGACAUGUAUGCCAUUGUAAAAAACAUUAUGUCUCCAAUACCAUCUGCAUUACAUACGAGAUGUAGAUGUCUUGAAGACCAACAUGUUCAAGGGCCAACAGCUCUUUCACUAGCGCUCAGCUGGAAACAUGGCGGAGAUAGAAUUCCAUGGCAAGUACCUGCAUAGCAAGGCUUCCGAGCAAAAUACUCAUUUGUGGAGCCUUGAUCUGUGGCUCGUCUUUCUAUUAUACAGUAUUUAAUGACAUUUAGGCCGUUACUGGAGGACAGUUUUUCCUUAGUUUAAUCAAUAUUGUCAGGUUUUGCAACAUUAAAAUAAAUACUCAAAGUGUAAAUGAUUAUCAUUACAGCAGUCUUUGGAUUCGUUUUUUUAGUUGUAUAGAAAACAUUUACCAAUGUGAAUCACAGCAGAACCACUCAGCAAGUCAUUAUUAUGGCUCAUCUGGUAUAGUAUGGCACACAAUUUCAUUACUUAAAUAACUUAACUGUUGAACUGAUUAUUUUUAAAAUAUGAAAUAACAAGUAUGUAGGUAAACAAACGGAAUAAAUGCAUGUAAAAACCACCAGAAUAAUAUUUAAGACAGCACCAACAUGUGUAGACUUUAAAAAAAAA